CGCUCUCGGUAACUUUCUCUACCAAAUUUCUUCAAGAUGAGCGAAUGGAGCGAUCUUCCAAAGGAGCUCUUACAAACAAUCUCCAAAUGCCUUGAUUCUCGUGUUGACGUUCUCCGACUUCGCUCUGUCUGCACUUCCUGGCGAUCCUCUGUUUCAUUUCCUUCCUUUGAUGAAGAAAUUCCUCCUCUUAUCCUUAAACUUCCUCAACCCAUCGGCAUUGAUGCCGUUCUCUUCUAUGCCACCAUAUGCCGAAUGGAAUUUUCCCAUCAGAAUGCUAAUUCUUCUUCUUCAGAAUCGAAUUCCAAGG
rnacentral:misc_RNA from 1 species